rnacentral:rRNA from 1 species
GACGAACGCUGGCGGCGUGCUUAACACAUGCAAGUCGAACGGAAAGGCCCUGCUUUUGUGGGGUGCUCGAGUGGCGAACGGGUGAGUAACACGUGAGUAACCUGCCCUUGACUUUGGGAUAACUUCAGGAAACUGGGGCUAAUACCGGAUAGGAGCUCCUGCUGCAUGGUGGGGGUUGGAAAGUUUCGGCGGUUGGGGAUGGACUCGCGGCUUAUCAGCUUGUUGGUGGGGUAGUGGCUCACCAAGGCUUUGACGGGUAGCCGGCCUGGGAGGGUGACCGGCCACAUUGGGACUGAGAUACGGCCCAGACUCCUACGGGAGGCAGCAGUGGAGAAUAUUGCACAAUGGGCGGAAGCAUGAUGCAGAAACGCCGCGUGCGGGAUGACGGCCUUCGGGUUGUAAACCGCGUUCGCCUGUGACGAAGCGUGAGUGACGGUAAUGGGUAAAGAAGCACCGGCUAAGUACGUG